GGCCCAAGAGCGGAGGUAGAGGGAACGACGCAUGCUUGAGAAAUGGCGGGAAACAGAGGAGGCUCGAGGCUUGCUCACACGCACACAGCCAACUGCUUCUGGACCGCCUUGCUCACACGCACACAGCCAACUGCUUCUGGACCGCCUGAAAGGCAACCUCGCCCGCCGCGGUGGUGUGGGGCGGGCAUCCCUUGAGACUGUGCUCUGGAGGCCUGGAGAAACAGCUUUCUAUCCUCAGCACUGGGGAGAGCAGGCCUCAAUCCCUGCCUUUGCCUGCCGCCCCUCUUCCUUCCCUCUCAAAGCAUACCCAGCAGCCCCGGCGCUGAGAAACGCGUUACUCUCUUAUCAGCUGUGGGAGAGACAAGACAGACUGGCCUCUGGGCGGAGGGGCCGCCAUUGCCUGCCCUCUGGACCAGGGCCUCACAGAUACCCUCAGCUUCAGGAUUAGGGCUGCGUUGGUUUUUCCCCCCACAUCAGGGGACUUCAACAAGUAACCUCCAGUUCCAUAGAUAAAACUUGUAUUCCCCCCUUCUCCAUGGCAGGGGUUUUGAGCCUAGAGAAGGAAGAUCGGAGCUUCCUGGGGCUCCUGUGAAGCAGGCAGGGGGCAGCACUGGGCCCCGGGAAGAGGCGGAGAAGGCGAGGGAGUGCCUGCGGUGAGCCCAGAGCCUUGGGCCCGUUAUCCUCUGAUGCUGCUCCCCCAACUUUCCUGCCGUCAGUCCCUGACCUUGCCUGAGACCUUGGCGGCUCCCGCACCUCUCUCCCGGCUCCUCCUUGCUGAGAACACAACCCGCAAGGCCCUUCCGCCUGGCUGGACUGAGUCCCCUAUGGAGGCAGCCUGGCAGGGAGCAGGUAUCUUCCUGGCAGAAGAGGACAGACCUGGUAAACUGAGAGACUGUUGAUGCCCCAAUGUUCUGCCUAGCCUGCCUGGAAACUCCAGAAGGAUACAGCAAGAAAGCAGCAUCUGCAAGAAAGCCCUCACCAGGACCAAAUCAGCUGACACCUCAACCUUGGACUACCCAGCUUCCCGAACUGUGAGUUUCUCCAUCAACUUAGCUGGCAGCUCCUGUCCCCAGCAGCAUCAGAGGCCCCAUGAAAAGAGCUCCAGCAGGGGCUCAGCCUGCAUGGGUCCCAUGCGGCAGCCUCAGUGUCAGAGCCUGGAUGGCAGGACUGAGAGGUGGUCACUUUAAAUUGGAGGGCGAAUGUCACAACUGUUUCAGUUUAAAGGAAGCAGCUGGCGAGAGGGGAGCCCAGCACACUAUGCAAGAGAGAUGCCUCUAAGAUUUUAUCUGUGGCCACCGACUGGAGCCAUUUGGACCGGGUACAGCAGUGGAAACUCUGUGAUGGUGACAAACAUGGGAAUCACUCUGAUGUGACGCAGUUAAAUUUACACCUUAAAAAAUGGAUGCCAAGACAACAUAAACAAGACCCAGGGACACCAACAGGGUAUGGUGCUGUGCCCCAGAGUCAGGGUCCUGGGUUCUUACCCAGGGAAGUGAGAAAUAAAGAUAACUUUUCCCUGCUCCCUCUCUCCUCCCCUGACACUGAUCUUCCCACCCUGUACCUCCCUCUUCUGCUCCCAAACCCCCACCCAGUGCUCAGUCGCAGACAUCACUGCCUGCAGGGCAUGCACAGUGCAGCCCAUUGCACACAAACUACAAACUCACAGAAGGUGAUGACAAUUUGUGUUUGGGACGUCUGAUUGUGAAAGAGGGAGGACAGCGUACUUGCAGCCACAGAGACUGAAACUGGAACGUGAUGGAACGGGGCUGGAACGUGAUGGAGCUCUGACAUAACAGACGUGUGACUUUGUGUGAAAUGUGCAGAUCCAUGUGGAAUAAAACACAGCCUAGCCUGUGGCUGCUGCCGUCCACAUUUCCCUCAUCUUCCAACAGAAGUCAGCAGGGUCCCUCCCAGCCUGGAACCUCCCUAGAGACUGCUGACCUCCCUUGGCAGGGCCCACAGGCCAGCAGGGUCCGCCCUCACCAGGGUCACUUGGCCCAUGUCCUCCUUGCUCCUCCAAGCUCCCCACCCAAGUCUGUCAGCU
rnacentral:lncRNA from 1 species